UCAAACUUGGUCAUUUAGAGGAAGUAAAAGUCGUAACAAGGUUUCCGUAGGUGAACCUGCGGAAGGAUCAUUAACGAGUCUUGAAAGCAGAGGCCUGUGCUGGUGCGGAAACGUUACAUGUGCACGGCUUCUGUGCUCAAUCCACUCAACCCCUGUGCACCUAUACAAAGCUAGUAGCCUCUCUUUGUUUUUGGUUUCCUGAUCUCUUUUCGACCGUAUUAGAACUUGUCAUGUGUAGGUUCGAACCUGGUUGAGGGGGAGAAGGAUUACAAUGGGAGGGGCGAACACUUUGAUUUUGCUUACAAACCCAUUGUAAUGUCUUGUGGAAUGUGAUGCUCCUUGUGAGCGAAAUGAAAUACAACUUUCAACAACGGAUCUCUUGGCUCUCGCAUCGAUGAAGAACGCAGC
rnacentral:misc_RNA from 1 species